rnacentral:misc_RNA from 1 species
CGUCUAUUUGCAUCCUUUAUGUAUAUAUUUCAGUCAGAUCUCGUGCUCCACGACUUUCUGCGCAAAUCCACUCACCUUACGAAUACAAUACUGAAUCCACAAGAUCUAGUUAUUUCUCUCGCGCGUGUCUAACUGAAUACAAGAUCCGUUACAGUGUUACUUAUAUAGUAGCCGCCACUUCAAUACAGCUUGCUAAGGUUACCGUGGACGUUUUCUUGGUCAUUAUCCGUGUUCUGGCUCCUUCUGUCGAGCUUAUGUCCCCGACGAGGUCAUUCGUUUCCUCUUUGAGGCGUUUCAAGGGUACUACUCUCUGGGGAUAUUUUGUAUAUCUUUGCUCAUCAUGCGACAUCUCGUGGUACAGAAAGCAGUUAAGCAUUCAUCGACAGUGACUUCGUAAUUUGUACUAUGGGAUCGUUACAAACCAGUAAAACACAAAAGUCCGGUGAAUUACUUUGGAUGGCUAUUCCGAAACUGUCCUUUCGGUUUUCACUUUGUUUGGGAGAAUAAUUCAAUAGGCAUGGGCGACUCAUCGAUCUACGCACAGUGAAUUUGUUAAAGGUCCCAUUAUAAAAACGAUCCUCUGGUUCAAAUCGAUGUGUAUCGUGAGAUUUG